AAAAAUAAUAAAACACUGAGUGCUGUAGCAAGAGGGUCUCUGAAUCCAGGAAUAUCCCAUUUUUUGGCAGGUUUCCCUUACCCUCUGCUGGGAUUAGCCUGUUAGACAAUCCCAGAAUAGCCCUCAACCCAGCUAUAUCCCUGGCGUGUUGCGCCUGAUUGCCUGCGGCUGUAUUUUGGGUUUGGUUAUGUCAGUUGUACCACUCCACCUUCCAGAACCAUCCUUGUGGGAGAGAUGUGGUACCCCUGAUAAACACUUUCUGGCUGGCUCAGGGUGAAUGGUUGUCAGAGGGAAGUGAGGGAAGGUCAUCCCAGAAUGUUAAGGAGGCACAGAACAAAUGAUAAAGGUGGGAGGAGAGAGGCCAGGACUCUUACACGUGGGUGAUCUGUGUUUCACUUCACAGGAGCUGCCCAUCAACUUCCCAGAGGAAAAAGAAAAUGGAAAGCCAAGCAAGACGGACAUUGAAGCAGCAGCAGCAGCAGCAGAAUGGCACCAAGGUAAUGACAGGCCCCCGUCCCUUCCAGGGGGCUGUUCAGAUAUAGGAUCUGAGGUUCCCGCUUUUUCACCCUGGGAUGCAUCUGGGUCAUCUUGAACCAGAACUUGCUGGUUCUGCCCUACAAAGGAGCAGAGCGAGGGGACAUCGGUAUAGCUGACCCUGCUUUGCAGAUGAGGGGCAAAAGCAAGCCAAGUACCUCCCUUAAUGCUGUCAAUUUCUUGCAGGCCCAUGACACAACAGGACGUAUGUAUGAGCAGGUGUUAGAGAAGCCUGCUCUCAGGAGAGGAGUCGAGGCCUUAGUGUGAAGGAGAACAGCUUACAUUAUGCAGACAUUCAAGUGUACAGCUGUACCCAGCCACGCUCUGCUCUGGAAGUGAAGCAUCUUCAGUCAGAAAAUGCUACAGAAUAUGCAACCCUUCGCUUCCCCCAGGCCACGCCCCGCUACGACAGCAAGAACGGCACCCUGGUGUGAGCCUUGGGGAGGAAGGGCCUGUUUCCGCAUCAUUUCGCCACUACUCCUGUGGGGAGACUUCUGCUUUGGGGAAUUGGCUGGUGGCCCAGAGAUGGCUGCCACGUUUUAAACUUAACUCCAGAACCCCAGUGAGAGCCCCCCAUUCUUGCUCUCUCCUCUAGGCCUACCUUUAAUUUGCCACCGUGAGCUUGGAGUUGUUUCGGGGCUGGUUAGGGGCGGAUGGAGUUCCACAAAAGGAGGGACUAGGAGGAGCAUGCCAAAAAUUUUUUGACCCCUACCUUUGCUCUUGCUUUCAAGAAAAGUGAAGGAAGAACAGGUUACCUCAGCACUUAAGUUGAUUUUGUUAGGCUUAAUUUAAUGGUGUCUCUUUUAUACACCUUAAAUCUAAAGCUGAAGAAGAAGUGCUCUGGAAAAGCAUUCUGAGUUCUCACACCAGCCCCCAGGGCUGGCUUGGGCAAUUCCCUCAAUGGUUGGGUCAAAGGUCUCAGAACCUAAAAAAGACAAACGAGGGCAGGGGUGAGGCGUGGAGGAAGCAAUUCCCUGACCACCGGUUACACGUAUUUCAAGUCACUGACAGCACUGCAUGACCCGGAAACUCCCUUUGGCUGGACCGUAGGCUCUCGCAGGUGCAAAGUCUCUGGGAUCAAUAAAUCGCAUAAGGAACAUGCCUGGUGCGUGUUG
ensembl:lncRNA